UGGGGAAUUUUGGACAAUGGGCGAAAGCCUGAUCCAGCCAUGCCGCGUGAGUGAAGAAGGCCUUCGGGUUGUAAAGCUCUUUCGCGAGGGAAGAAAACGUAUUCGCUAAUACCGGAUGCGGAUGACGGUACCUUGAUAAGAAGCACCGGCUAACUACGUGCCAGCAGCCGCGGUAAUACGUAGGGUGCGAGCGUUAAUCGGAAUUACUGGGCGUAAAGCGUGCGCAGGCGGUUUUGUAAGACAGGCGUGAAAUCCCCGGGCUCAACCUGGGAAUGGCGCUUGUGACUGCAAGGCUUGAGUAUGGCAGAGGGGGGUAGAAUUCCACGUGUAGCAGUGAAAUGCGUAGAGAUGUGGAGGAAUACCGAUGGCGAAGGCAGCCCCCUGGGUCAAUACUGACGCUCAUGCACGAAAGCGUGGGGAGCAAACA
rnacentral:rRNA from 1 species